rnacentral:rRNA from 1 species
GCCGAUGACCAAAUCAUCGUGAAUGUGCCAAACCUCGUCAGAUAUCAUAAGAUACGCAGGGAUUAUAGCCUGGUUAAUACUUGGAUGGAAAACUGUCUGGGAAUAUCAGGCGUUGUAUGCU